GUGGCUCGGACCCUCACAUGUCUACUUAAUUGAAAUCUGAACUUUAAUCUAGAUAUUUAAUGUUCCAAGCUUGAUUUAUUACUCAGUUAUCAACUUCUUUUAUAAAUAUGGGUUGGUUCAUACAUGCUUAGUAAAUAGUUGCUAAUGACUCAAUUAAAAUGCUUAAUGCUUUGUUCAGCCAGCAUUAUUCCUUGUUCUAAGCCUUUCAUGUCAUAUAUCUCCAAUAUACUUGCUGAGUACGACAUGUGCUCACCCUUGCUAUACCAACACUGCUCAGAGAAGAAAGUGCAAUGAAGCUGAAGAUGCUACUGAGUUCUAGGCAUAUGCAACCCCCGGUCGAUUGCCUGUGAAGUGUGGAGCCGUCGUUUCCAGGAUAAAGCUGUGUAUCUCUGAUAGACUUUUAUUCGUUGUAUUGGGAAGUGCAGGAGAAUGCACUUAUUCGUGCUCUAGUAUGUUUUGAUGAAGUUCUAGGCUGGACGAUUGGAAACCUCGACUAUCUUAGAUAUUUACGGUUCCGAGCAUUUCAGUAGCUUGAAAUUUGUAAUAUGCAUGGAUAUACCGCUACUAUUAUCAUUGAACAGCUUGUACCGCUAUUCCUUUAUUUUAUGAAAUUUGAUUGCAUUGUUA